AUGCUCCAAAAUGCAUCUUCUUGCCUACUUUGUCCAUAAAAUUUGAAAACACACGAAAAUGACUUUAAACAUUAAAAUAACUAAGGAAACACGACAUAAAUGCACAAGAACAAGCCAACUAAGUCGCAUAAAUAUGCUCCUAUCACUCAUGCCUCUCCUGGGUCUUAUUGUUUGGAACACACCUUAUUGUUUGGUUGGGGACUUGAACAAACGACUAUGAGGACCGACAGAUAAGAUAGACUGUAAAAUGAAAGCUUGAAAAGACAAACUUAAUUUGUAGAUUAUGAAGAUGCUAAUGCAAUUACCACUCACUUGGCUCUGAUACCAAAUGUACGCAGAAGCUUACUAGCAGAUUUCUAAUGAUGGAAAGUUUGAUGAGGACAAUAAUGAUCAUAUUGAUAAGAUGAAUAUGGAAUUAGAUUAUUAUCAUCUGAACCAUAACAAAUCUGAAACCAGCUAUGCUAAACAAAUAAGAAGAAUUGAAUGAAUGAUUGAUCGGUAUUUACCUUGAAUUUGAGAUACUCAAUGAAUUGACUGUGAGUAAGAAUUUUGUGCCAUUCAAAAUUAGUAGUUAUGAAAAUAUUCUUCAUAAUGAAAAUAAUAAAUUAAAAUUAAUGAUGCAGAUAUAAAUUGAAAAUAAUUUUAUUCCAAACUGGAAAUCAACUUACAAUUUCGUCUAUUGAUGAUUGAUUAGGAAAACGAUGGUGCUCGCAGACAUCCUUGAUUGAAAAUAAAAUACAAGUGUUUGAUAAUUUUAUGGGAUGAAGCUGAAUAGUGACUUCUGUUCUAUAAAGAAUUCACAGAAAGUCUCAGCUAUGUUCUAUUGAAAGUUUUCUUUCACUGAAAAUGAAUUCUUAUUUUGUAGGAAGAGAUUGAAUGAUUGAGGCCGGGAAUCCCGCUGCCGUAUGUCGGUUGCAUGUGCCAAAUGCUGUAAAGGCUAGCGAAUAAUGAUGUUUUCCCGUGUAUUCACGCUGCUGCUGGCUGAAAUGAUGGAUGAAUAGUAAAAAGUGAUUUUACUAUUUAUGAAUAGUGUCUUGUCGGAAUGAUUGUUGCUACUGCUGUUGUUGCUUUCUCUGUGAAAAUCACACGGCUUCUACUGUGCGAUUUACAUAGGUAAAAACUUAAAAUGAUUACAAAUCAUUACAUUUUUGAAAUUUUACAAAUCAAAUGGGUCUUGGGUAUCUUGGUAAUCUGCCCAUUUGGCUGGUUGAGAUGAAGCGUCUGAUGAGUGAGAACUUGGGUCUUCGAGUUCACUGUGCAGUAAGGCUGCUUCUGCUAUAAGCUUAUCUGCCAGUUUCAAAAGCUGUGAGGAUUUCUCAUUCUUCUUCGAACUUGAAGUUUUUGAGGACCUAGAUGAUUUAGUGAUUCAUUUGAAGGAAAAUGAAGGACUAAUGUCUGAUAAGGACUGGGUAUUUUUUGGGAUUUCUGGCAAUGCCUUUGUUGUAGUUGCUGGUAGAGAUACCAUUGGAACAGGUUCAAUUGGAAAUUACGAUGAGACUAAACUGAUAAUUUUUUCGUAAUCAAAUUUGUCCCACCAUUUAACCCAUCGGGCUCUGUAAACUUGACCUGUUUCUAUCUCAUAAUUCCAUUUCAUGAUCCAAGGGACCUUAUAUUUUGCCAUAAACAAUGAAAGAAUAGUAAUUAUGUCGUCGAAACGGCUUCGAUCAAAUUUCUUCUGGAAACCAGAUGAUAAAAUUUGCAUAAGGCCCUUAGGUAUUAGACUGGCUGUUGGGCCAUGAGCUGACCACCAAUUAGGAAACCAUGCUGGGAAAUUUAACUUGAAACUUUUAUCAAAUACAAUGAACCAAGAAUGACUAAAGCCAGAUGUCUGGUGUAAAAAUAUGUUGGUCCAUGUUUGAAUGUAGUCGAAAUAACUGUAUUUGUUAUUGGGAAUGAGAUUAUUUUCGGUAUGGAGUCGUGUGGUGUGAUAGAGGGGAAUUCCCCAUUCUUAUUCUGUAAGAAAUUUUCCUAUAUGUAGGGAAUGGUAGAGAAUUUUGUUUUGAUGAUUGGUGGUAUAAAUAGGUUUGAUAGCAAUGCUUUCUGUUUCACUGAGAAUGGCUUGAUAAUAUUUGAGGGUUUUGAAAGAUUUAGUUAGGAUGUGAUGAAAGUUUGGGGGUAAGAUUGUUUUGGCUAU
rnacentral:lncRNA from 1 species